AGGAGAAGCUGGACCUGCAGGGACUUUCUCUUGCUCCUUUUUGUCACUCAGCCUGUAAGUAGCACUUCUAUGGCCAGAUGAACAAGUGCCGAAAGAGACAGGCUUCUAGCUCCCAGGAUAAACCUCUCCUUUGUCCUUUAUGCUCAGGGAGCUCAGAACUGUAGCUGAAACUUUCAGUAAGGCCAGCCUAAGGUGUGAGGCAUGCCACACACCCACAGAGCUUCCGGGUGAGCCUUAGGACUUCCUCCACUGUGGAUGUCACCAUGAAGGUGGCGUCAUGCUGAGAGCUGAUGCUCUGUGCGGCACCUGGAGUUGGAGGAGGAAGAGCAGAGUCCAGGGAAGAAGGUACCCAGCAUUUAGGCACGGGAGUUUCCAGCCUCUUUCACAUCCCUGGGCACUGGCUAUGCUGGGGCCUGCACCAAGCCGGGAGAGGUCACCUGAGGGGUGGCUCUGAAGUUCAUCUUGCUGCUCAGGGGUUGCCAACCAGGAUAGCCCAGGAAGAGCUGGAUACUACCUCCUCCUCCAAGUGCAGCCUGUCUGUGACCCACAUCACACUUUCCAAGCGGAGAAGUUAGGCUUCUUCUUCAGUCCCUGCCUUUGCAGUGGAGUUCCAGCAGUCCAGAAGGAAAAAACAUCCAGAAAUCAAUCAGGGAGCAUUAACAGACUGUGCUUGUUAACCACCUAACACACAGUAUCUAUCCAAACUGGAAUUGCUGGAUCACAUGGAGAUUCUGAGGGACGUCUGUACUGUUUCCUGUUUCCCAUCCCUACCAGCGAUGCAGCAUCACAUCAUGCAGUAGUGCCUGGUUAUUCCUCUGACAAACAGCAGGACACAGAGGUGGCCCUGCUUGUUGAGAUCACAAGGUUGGGAAGGCUCUGUACAAGCACACACUAAUGGAUGGCUAUGUAAUCGCGGUUAUUUAAGAAUAAAAUACAAUU